rnacentral:rRNA from 1 species
AGAGUGAACGCUGGCGGUAGGCCUAACACAGGCAAGUCGAACGGCAGCACGGUAAGAGCUUGCUCUUAUGGGUGGCGAGUGGCGGACGGGUGAGGAAUACAUCGGAAUCUACCUUUUGGUGGGGGAUAACGUAGGGAAACUUACGCUAAUACCGCAUAACGCCCUUCGGGGGAAAGCCGGGGACCAGCAAUGGCCUGGCGCUGAUAGAUGAGCCGAUGUCGGAUUAGCUAGUUGGUNAGGUAAUGGCUCACCAAGGCGACGAUCCGUAGCUGGUCUGAGAGGAUGAUCAGCCACACUGGAACUGAGACACGGUCCAGACU